CUAUUCACUGACAUGGAAAAAAGUGUCACAAAGAGCUUUACUAACGCAGCUUGUUGCAAGAAGAAAGAUGAGUAGAUUGCUAGCAUAGAAAAAAACUGCACGUGUCAGGGAAUAGGCGUAGAAAAUUUCUACUUGAUGCAGUUGCGACAUAAUAUAAUUUGAUCUUACAAUUUUCCCCAGCUUCUAUGAACUUGAGUGUUGCUUGUAUUGAUUUGAGCCAAAAAUUGUUCGUGGUAAUCCUGGUAUUGCAAUGAUUGAUAACAAGUCUUUUUUAAGUUUAUCCGAAAACAUGGACGUAGAACUAUGUUCCUCUUUGUUCCUGUUAGGUCUUAAUUGGGCUACCUUUAUGAGAAUUAUGAUAUAUUCAAGUGGAUGGUUGGAACACUCUGUUGGUGUUCUUGUUGCCAAACUUCCCUAGAGGGAUCCUUGCAUGGGCAAAGGAAAAAUGCAACUGGGGAAGCUCCUACUCGGUCUCACGGAUGUUAGAAGCUGUCCCAAAGGCCCUUAACUUAAUUAGCAACAUGGAAAACAGCAGUUUUCCAGAAAUUAUCAGUCAUAGUGGUCUCUUCUAGUCAUUGAUACGAAGAGUUAAGUCGGUCAACGGCUGAAUUAAAUACUGCGGGAUAUUCAAAGAGUAAGCUUGUAACCGCAUACUGAAAUGACUCUGUCUCUUCAAGAUUCUCGUUCUUCAUGAUGUUCAAGAAAUAUACCUUAAUUACACAAUAACUUUUCUGGCUCAUCUUCUCGGUGGUGUUCCUGCGAUCCAGUUCCUACUUUAUCCCGGUUUAUCUGGAUAACCGGUUGCAGGAGAAGUUUACUUUAUAUAUGUCUGGUUGGGUUCCCUUUAAUAACUCAUUAGGAAAGAAAAAUUGCAUUUUGUCGUUAAAAGAGGGCAAAGUCAAACUUUUCUGGCACAUCUUCUCGGUAGUGUUCCUGCGAUCUAGUUUCCACUUCAUCCCCAUUAUCUGGAUAACCGGUCGCAGGAGAAGAUUUGCUUUAUAUUUGUCUGGUUGGGUUGCCUUUUAUAACUCAGUAGGAAAGAAAAAUUGCAUUUCUUUUUCAUUGUUGCCGUCAAAAGAGGGCAAAGUCAAUGUUUCUAAGUUUAAGGAGAAAAUGAUUAAACCCAAAUGAGCGGAGCAAGAAUUUUUUUUUCGGGGCGGCCAAACUCCCCAUUUCUCCAAUGAACUUGUCCGAAUAUGGCCAAAUUAAAACAAAAUCUAAAAAAUCCAUGAAACUUAUUUCCAUAACUAAACAUCCACAAAAUUUGUUUCCAUGAGGAAAAAUCCAUCACCUUGAAAAGUUUUUUCCAUGGAAAAAAUUCCAUCCUAAAAAUCCAUGAAUUUUUUUUUCCAUGAAUAAAAAUCCAUCAUAAAAGAUCCAUGAAAAAAAUUCUGUCUUAAAAAUCCACUAAAACUUUUUUUUCCCAUGAAUAAAAUCAAUCCUAAAAGAUCCACGAAAGUUUUUUUCCAUGAAAAAAAUUCCAUCUUAAAAAUCCACGAAAGCUUUACCCUUGAUAAAAAAAUCCAUCCUAAAAGAUCCACGAAAAUUCAUCCUAAAAGAUCGAUGAAAAGUUUUUUCAAUGGUGAAAAUAAUCGAUGGAUUUUUCUUCAGCGUAAAAAAAAUCAUGGAUAUAUCAAACGUCCUAAAAGGUAUCCACGAAAUGUUUUUUUCCACUGGUGCAUCAAACGUAUCUUCGAAGAUAUUCACGAAAUUCUUUUUGCAUGGAUUUUUUUUUCUGAGUGCAUCAAACAACCCUCAAAUAUAUCCACUGCUGUGUGCAUGCUCUGGCGAGCAGUUCAAGUUUGAGGAGGUGGAGCCUCCUCUGUCACCGGAAUCCUUCGCGACGAGAGAUUUUUCGGCUGGUGGCAUUUCCUCGAGGACCUUGGGUUGGGAUGCCAAGUUCGAGGAUAAUCAUGUCGAAGAGGAAGCACGUGCUUUUCUUCCCCUUUUUGGUGUUCUAUUUUCCUCUUGACGGCUCUAUAGAUGGUUGUUUUUAAUAUUCGUUAAUCUCAUUUUCCUGUGCAGGAAGCGCGUGCUUUAUUGGGAUGGCUGAGUACCAGAGUCAAGUUUUCUGAAAGCAGACAGAACUUGAUCAAGAACUUUGAACAUUCUCUUUCCUUGGUUGAUUGGAACUAUUAUCCAAUUACACAGUUUAUACAGCAGUAACAGCACUAUAACACCAAGGGAAUAAUGUUGGGACUGUCAUUGACAGGUAGACUUCAACUUCAACUGCUAAGGAGGCUUUUUUUCUUUUUUUGUGGCUUGCUUCUCUUUCCAUAUCUUUUCCUCUUUAUUGCAUUUUUUAUACUGACGCUUCAAAUAAAUGCUUUUUCUCCUUCUUUUCAUGUAAUUUUUUACGGUCUGGACAGUUUCAACUUUCUGAAAUGCUUAAGUUCGUCGACAUGAAUUCUGUGUUUGUUCACUUAUUCAGAAUAUUCGAUCUUGCUUUUUUUUUAUGACAUUUAACUACUUCUGUUGUAAAAGAGCGUUACUAUUGGAGUUAAAAGAACAAAAUUGAUUAUAUAUUUCCUAACUUCAAAAUUUCAUGUGGUAAUAAAUAUGUUGACAAUUCCUAUGAAUGCUUGUGAGCAUGUUUUUGUUCUCUCUCAGUUUUUGUUUUCUAUAAACUUCACAUGUUUGCUUUUUCUUUUUUCUUUUGGGUGAGUUGAUUUCAGAAUUCAAUGAAUGUGAACCAUAGAAGACUCACCUUCUGUUUGUGAUUCAAUGCUAUCCUGGACAGUAAUUUGUGUGCUUGAUUUCUUGUUAGAUCUCACAGAACCAAGAAGAUUCCUCAACGUUGACAGGCCGUUGUUAUUAUGUCACAGACAUCACAGAAUAUGAAAAAACAGACUGUGAUACUGAAACUUGUGAUUCUCAAUGACAUGCGUGAUCUCCAUAUGCUGAUGAAGCACAGGUUGUGAUUCUUUAGCCCUUUGAAAGGCAAAAGAAUAAUGGUUUUACAGCUUUUUGGGCAAGAGGAUGAUAGUGGCUACAUGGUGGUUCUGUUGGUUUCGCUUUUCUUUUCCAUUAUUGUUUUUAAUGUUGUAGAAUCAUCCUAUUAAGUGUUUGGUGUGUGGUCACACCAUGAUGAA